rnacentral:rRNA from 1 species
GUAGGGGGCCAGCGUUGCUCGGAAUUACUGGGUGUAAAGGGUUCGUAGGCGGUGUGGCAAGUCGGGAGUGAAAUCUCUGAGCUUAACUCAGGGGCUGCUUCCGAAACUGCUGUGCUAGAGUGUGGGAGAGGCGCGUGGAAUUGCAGGUGUAGCGGCGAAAUGCGUAGAUAUCUGCAGGAACACCCGUGGCGAAAGCGGCGCGCUGGACCACUACUGACGCUGAGGAACGAAAGCUAGGGGAGCAAACAGGAUUAGAUACCCUGGUAGUCCUAGCCCUAAACGAUCAGGACUUGGGGUGCCACCCGUUCGGGUGUCGUCCCGGAGCUAACGCGUUAAGUCCUSCACCUGGGGAGUACGGUCGCAAGACUG